rnacentral:lncRNA from 1 species
AAAGAGCUGUGGAGCCUGAGAUUACUCUGUUUCAAUUUAAUAUCCUUGGAUGUGAAGUAGCUUGGGUGAUUUCUGGUGUAGUUGGCUUUAUAAAUGCUCCCAGGAACUUCUUUCAUACGACAUUUAAUUCGUUUUAGGACAGGUGCUCCCUCUUUUCUAAAUGUUUUUCCAUUAGUGUUCUCUUUAAUGCUUCCUUGUUCUGGGUUAUUCACCAAAUAAAAAUACUUGCUUUUAUGGUUGAUGUAGCUGCAUUUGUUGAGUAUAUUUAUUUUAUUGGCACUCAGGGCCUGGAGACAUCCUUGAAGGAUCAGAGGAGGGUCAUUACGAUACAAUCCAUGACGGACCGAAGAGAAAGAUCCAUUGCGGAUCGGAUCUGAUUCAAAAAGAAUCCUAGCGAAGCAUGAAGCUUCAAAGAGUUGAGAGCACAUAAACGGCUCUUUUUUGGAAAAACUCGUUCCUAAAAGGAAUGUUAUGGUGCAUGCGGUCGCAAGAAAGUUACAGGAUGGACACCAAUCCUUUGAAUUUUAAAUAGCAAUGAAAUCAUGCCCUAAUUGUCAAUUUAGUUAGAAAAAAAGUAUAUUUAUAUUGGCAAGCAUGAUGAGGUGUGGUCUAGUGCUUAAAAAUAUUUAUAUUGUAGAUUGAUCGUAUACGAAUCGAUUAACGAAGACGAUAAAAAUAUUGUUGGUACAAGUGUGAGAACUUAAAGCUAUGUGAUACUGUUAUUCGUGUGUGAGAUUGAGAUAUGAUCAUGAGUUGGCUUCGAUGUCGGUUCAUAUCUUACUAAUGACAACAUUGCUGUUUUUUAUUCAUACGUGUGAGGUUGUGAUACACAAAGUUAGAAAAAUACAACUGA